GGAGAGGUGACCGAGCGGCCGAAGGUGCAGCACUGGAAAUGCUGUGUACCCUUACGGGUACCGGGGGUUCGAAUCCCCCCCUCUCCGCCA
rnacentral:tRNA from 1 species